rnacentral:rRNA from 1 species
AUUGAACGCUGGCGGCAGGCUUAACACAUGCAAGUCGAGCGGGGUGAUGGUGCUUGCACUAUCACUUAGCGGCGGACGGGUGAGUAAUGCUUAGGAAUCUGCCUAUUAGUGGGGGACAACAUCUCGAAAGGGAUGCUAAUACCGCAUACGUCCUACGGGAGAAAGCAGGGGAUCACUUGUGACCUUGCGCUAAUAGAUGAGCCUAAGUCGGAUUAGCUUAGUUGGUGGUGUAAAGGCCUACCAAGGCGACGAUCUGUAGCGGGUCUGAGAGGAGAGUCCGCCACACUGGAACUGAGACACGGCCCAGACUCCUACGGGAGGCAGCAGUGGAGAAUAUUGGACAAUGGGGGGAACCCUGAUCCAGCCAUGCCGCGUGUGUGAAGAAGGCCUUAUGGUUGUAAAGCACUUUAAGCGAGGAGGAGGCUCUCUUGGUUAAUACCCAAGAUGAGUGGACGUUACUCGCAGAAUAAGCACCGGCUAACUCUGUGCCAGCAGCCGCCGUAA